UACGAAGGGGGCUAGCGUUGUUCGGAUUUACUGGGCGUAAAGCGCACGUAGGCGGAUCGUUAAGUCGGGGGUGAAAUCCUGGAGCUCAACUCCAGAACUGCCUUCGAUACUGGCGAUCUUGAGUCCGGAAGAGGUGAGUGGAAUUGCGAGUGUAGAGGUGAAAUUCGUAGAUAUUCGCAGGAACACCAGUGGCGAAGGCGGCUCACUGGUCCGGUACUGACGCUGAGGUGCGAAAGCGUGGGGAGCAAACAGG
rnacentral:rRNA from 1 species